UUAAGCAUAAAUCGAAUCUGUGCGAAUCGAUUAAUUAUCAACCCCGAACCUACAUUAAUUAACAACACUUGGAUCCCGAUUUUCGUACAAUUACUAAAUGUUUCCUGUAUUGUCAAAAAACGCCAUAACAGUUGAGAAAGAGAUGUGCCUGCAGACGAAGCUUAGCCAGUUCUUCAAUUAAAAUAUAUUCACAGUAGGAACAUUUUAGCAUUUUGAUGACAUCCUAGGAUUUAAAAUAAAACAAGUAUAUACCUUUUCUUUAUUAAACAUCUACUACUGACUAUGGAAGUAGUGGCAGGUGGUAUUACUCGACCCGAGACCGAAUAUCGACGAGGUAGCAAUACAACAAUAAAACUUUCAUAUUAUUGACCAAUUUUUAUGAAACUUUCAUCAACAUGUCCGUCACAUUUUUGUAAUUAAAAUGACAUGAAACACGAUACAGUUUGCUAAAAUCGGCGAAGUAUUGUAGGUUUCUUCGUAAACGAAAGACGACACAAUAAAGGGGGGCUAUCGCUGAAAAAGUGAGACCCGCAAGAUUUCACUCAAUGAUUUUACGUCCCUGCACGUCACGAAACUUUGGAGCAAGCAGGCGAAUCCGGUUCUGUUUCAUAUACAGCUCAAUUUUUUUUUUUCAAUAACAGAUAUCUUCGAUGUUUAUCUAAAAUCAUGCAAUCUCUUCCUAAGGAGUUAUGCCAGUGCCACUUUAAGAAGCAUGGAUGUCCGUGCCGAUCAUCGUUUACUCGAAAUCUUCAAACAAAAUCAUACAAAAAAUACGAAUAGAAGAAAAGGCAUACUGUAUCCGAACAAACAACAAAUUUAUUAGAAAAUAAUAGAGAAAGAGAAGUUGCACAAGAAAGACAGCACGAUAUCUAAAAACAGCUGAUCAGAAAAGAUGGGCAUGGCACAGAAGGAUGACAUCAGUGCAACUACUAGCACUACCAACAAUGACAAGAAGCGGAUGAAGGAGGGAUAAAAUAAGAACACAAAGAAAAUGAAUUAUUUGUUAAUAUACCAAUGCUAGACUAUACAAGAGUACCGUUGAGAUUCGCUGACAACGAGGAUUCGAUUGAACGAGGUUAGCAAUUGAAUCGCAGACAAGCUGCGACUUUCAAAUUGAGGAAAUCCUAGGGAAAACCUUCCGAGAAAUAGAAUUGCAAAAUGAACAUGCUCAGCUGUUGAAAGAAAAUAAAAAUUUGAAAGCACAAAUAAAAUAUGUCAAAUAAGAUGUCAAAAGGACAAAGAAAAGGAAGAAUCGAUUUCUUCAAUGAUUCUAGGAGCAUUCAAAGAAUAACGUUUCGUUACAGCGGAAGAAGGUCCGCGGCCGAGAAAACAUCAAGGAGGAAAGUCGCAGGUCUCAAAAGUCAAGAGAAAAGGCGAAGAGCAGUUGGGAUUUGCUUGAUGACAGAAAUGUACACAUAAAGAUUACAAGUUGUUGACUGAAUCAUUUUCGAUGGUUCCACUUUAUAGAAUGGUCUAUUGGUAUAGAGAUAUGGAUAUAUAUUUGAUGUGUCCAAUAUUUGUAAAUGUAUUAUUUAUAUUCUUUGUUUCUUGUUUUAAUUUAUUAUAUUGACAACGUGUUUUAUUUUUAACUCUACUUUAUAUAUAUCAUCGUUCAAAUAUAUAGUAAACGAUUAAUUUCUCUUUCUUAGGCAACGUAGGAUUAAAAAGGUUUCCGCACUACGAAACCAACAGGUUCUUGUUUAUGUUAGUGUACAACCAAAUAUGUUGAACUCCAAUUUCAUCUCUGUCCGUAAUCAUGGACGACAUAUGUAGCGGCAUGAUACCAUUCGCACAAUGGCACGAACAGUUUAUUCGCGAACCAACACCGUUUGUAUAUUGUUACAGAAGAUGUUAUCCCGCGACACAAUAUUCCUACUACACCAUCGUUAAGAUAUCCCGUUAGUCUGUUUUUCUGUAAUUACAACUUUUGCUAUAAUAAGCAAGAGCACAAGGUAUCUCGACCAUGAGGUAGUAUGUCUGUGAACGAUAUUGUAUCAUAAUCGCGAAAUGGCUCAGUCGUACUAUCGUAUCGUAAUAUAUCUUGUCCAUGGUUAAAGGUAAAUUAACACAAACCUCACCAUGCCCGGUCAAAUGACUGUGUUCAAAAUUUAAGUAAAAAUUGUACAUUCAUUGUUAUUUAUUUCGCUCAUCUAACUUUUGCAAAUAUUCUUAUAUUAACACAAAUUGGGAAAUUGGUCAGAUAAUGUAAGAAUUUACAUAAAGUGAGAUGAACAAAAAAAUAACAACUAAUACAAAACAUUAGAUCAAACAUUAAAGCCGUUCAUUUGACGGGAUCUUUUUAGAAAGAUUGAAAUCGGACAUAAGAAAACUUACAAAUCAAUAUCGUACAAAAUUGUCGUAAAUUAGUUCGUUUUCAAAUCCGUAUUUAAGUCAGCACAAAUU